rnacentral:rRNA from 1 species
AGUGAACGCUGGCGGUAGGCCUAACACAUGCAAGUCGAACGGCAGCACAGUAAGAGCUUGCUCUUACGGGUGGCGAGUGGCGGACGGGUGAGGAAUACAUCGGAAUCUACUUUUUCGUGGGGGAUAACGUAGGGAAACUUACGCUAAUACCGCAUACGACCUACGGGUGAAAGCAGGGGAUCUUCGGACCUUGCGCGAUUGAAUGAGCCGAUGUCGGAUUAGCUAGUUGGCGGGGUAAAGGCCCACCAAGGCGACGAUCCGUAGCUGGUCUGAGAGGAUGAUCAGCCACACUGGAACUGAGACACGGUCCAGACUCCUACGGGAGGGAGCAGUGGGGAAUAUUGGACAAUGGGCGCAAGCCUGAUCCAGCCAGACCGCGUGGGUGAAGAAGGCCUUCGGGUUGUAAAGCCCUUUUGUUGGGAAAGAAAAGCAGCAGGUUAAUACCCCGCUGUUCUGACGGUACCCAAAGAAUAAGCACCGGCUAACUUCGUG